GUAGGGAGCGAGCGUUGUCCGGAAUUACUGGGCGUAAAGGGCGCGUAGGCGGGAACUUAAGUUAGAUGUGAAAACUCCGGGCUUAACCUGGAGACUGCAUUUAAAACUGGGUUUCUUGAGGGCAGGAGAGGAAAGUGGAAUUCCUAGUGUAGCGGUGAAAUGCGUAGAUAUUAGGAGGAACACCAGUGGCGAAGGCGACUUUCUGGACUGUACCUGACGCUGAGGCGCGAAAGCAUGGGGAGCGAA
rnacentral:rRNA from 1 species